rnacentral:piRNA from 1 species
UAAUUAAAAAGACAGGAACAC